rnacentral:rRNA from 1 species
UCCCCUAGUAACUGCGAGUGAAGCGGGAAAAGCUCAAAUUUAAAAUCUGGCAGUCUUUGGCUGUCCGAGUUGUAAUCUAGAGAAGUGUUAUCCGCGCUGGACCGUGUACAAGUCUCCUGGAAUGGAGCGUCAUAGAGGGUGAGAAUCCCGUCUUUGACACGGACUACCAGGGCUUUGUGAUGCGCUCUCAAAGAGUCGAGUUGUUUGGGAAUGCAGCUCAAAAUGGGUGGUAAAUUCCAUCUAAAGCUAAAUAUUGGCGAGAGACCGAUAGCGAACAAGUACCGUGAGGGAAAGAUGAAAAGAACUUUGGAAAGAGAGUUAAACAGUACGUGAAAUUGCUGAAAGGGAAACGCUUGAAGUCAGUCGCGUUGUCCAGGGAUCAACCUUGCUUUUGCUUGGUGCACUUUCUGGUUGACGGGUCAGCAUCAAUUUUGACUAUUGGAAAAAGGUCAAGGGAAUGUGGCAUCUUCGGAUGUGUUAUAGCCCUUGGUUGCAUACAAUGGUUGGGAUUGAGGAACUCAGCACGCCGCAAGGCCGGGUUUUUAACCACGUACGUGCUUAGGAUGCUGGCA